rnacentral:rRNA from 1 species
CAGUAACCCCAAGCGAAGAGACCUUUAGUUUGAAACCCCGAAACCAAGUGAGCUACCCCGAGACAGCCUAUAUUAACUUAGGGCUAACCCGUCUCUGUAGCAAAAGAGUGGGGAGAGCUCCGGGUAGAAGUGACAGACCUACCGAACUUGGUGAUAGCUGGUUGCCUGAGAAGUGGAUAGAAGUUCAGCCUCACGCCCCCCAAAUCAGAGAACUGGAAAUUAAGAUUCUUAGGGAGAUGCGCGAGAGUUAGUUGAAGGGGGUACAGCCCCUUUAACAAAGGAUACAACCUUCACAGGAGGAUAAAGAUCAUAAUACGUAAGACAUACUGUUCUAGUGG